UACGUAAGGUGCAAGCGUUGUUCGGAAUUACUGGGCGUAAAGGGCGCGUAGGCGGCCUUCUAAGUCGAACGUGAAAUCCCCGGGCUCAACCCGGGAACUGCGUCCGAUACUGGGAGGCUUGAAUCCGGGAGAGGGAUGUGGAAUUCCAGGUGUAGCGGUGAAAUGCGUAGAUAUCUGGAGGAACACCGGUGGCGAAGGCGGCAUCCUGGACCGGUAUUGACGCUGAGGCGCGAAAGCCAGGGGAGCAAACGGG
rnacentral:rRNA from 1 species